UCAAUCUCUUUCUUCACUUCCUCUAC
rnacentral:sRNA from 1 species